CUUCUCCGGGGUUGCUGUCCAGGUACCAUCAAGAUGAACGCCGCUUCCCUGUUCCUGCGGGCCAUCAUCGUCGAAUCGCCGCCAUGCCUCCACUACCGCUCAGUGACGCGUCAACAGCGAGUGGCGCAGUUUCGUCAAAAUCUACGAGGGCGUCCGGUGUCUGUUCACGUCGGACAUCUACGUGAUACCGAUCACCACCCGGCAGUUUAUCUACGAGAUCAAACAUCCGCUGCGGUUGCGCGGGGACAUUCUGAUCCGGUGCUAUCAGAUCAUACCAAAUAACAACAAGCUGCACGACGAGAAGGAGCUGAUCUCGUGCGUGCAGUUCCACACCUGUGCCAUAACCGAGAGGGAAGUACAAUUCGCCAAGGUCGAGCUGGAUCUGGCGUGCAACGAUGAACGGUUUCCGGCCGAUCACAAAGUGAGGCUUGCUUCGAUACCACACCAAAUGAGAGGAGUGCGAUACUGGUCUUCCAAAAUCCGCUGGUGCGAAUAGAACCGAUUAUCGAGGGCGGCGACCAUCUGGAAACGAUCAAUGAA